AUAGUACUUCAUCCGUUCCGAAUUACUUGUCACAAAAAUGAAUGUAUCUAGAACUAAAAUAUAUCUAGAUACAUCCAUUUUUACGAUGAGUAAUUUGGAACGGAGAAAGUAUUUC
rfam:Triticum aestivum genome assembly, contig: Triticum_aestivum_CS42_TGACv1_scaffold_290432_4AL